GGAGCCCCGGCCCGACCCGGCCGAGGUUCGGCCCCAAGGCGGCGACACAGCACUCCGCCCGCGGCGCGCUCUCGGCGCGGGGCCGACUCCAGCUUUGUCUCGCGAGGGGACCCCUCGGCCGUGGGCCGCGCCGGGCCUCCCGGCGGCGCCGGCUGCUUCUCUUCGCGCCGCGACAGGCCCCCCCCCCACCGGACCAGACCAGACCAGACCAGACCAGAGGCGGCGUCUGGACGAGAGCGGCGGGCGGACGGAGCUUGCAGUGCUCGCAGCUGCUGUUUCCAGGAUGUCCUUCUCUGUCAGGCUGCAAUCUCCAGGACAAAAAGCCCACAGGACUUUUGCUCAGUGGAGCUCAGUCUGCAGAAACACUCUGUCAUUUGCAGCUGUUUCCUUGCCGCCGGGUUAGCUCUGGAGUCCCCAAAGAGUCAGAUGGGAUGAGAAGACUCGCUGUUCCCCAGGCACCUGGGAACUGCUGCCAGGGGACAAUAAAGCAGUCAUUGGGCUACAUGGAAGCCUGAUGCAGUAAGGACUGAGGUGAAACACUGCCAAACAGGAAUGAAAUCCAUGUAUCAGAAUCAUCUCCAAGUCAGAGCCAAACAGGGCCAAGAGUUCCUGGAUUCUGGUUCUUGAAUGCAGAAAUAUGGCUUUAAUUACUGGAAAGGGGUCUGUGAUGUGGUAAAAGUGAAGAUUCCUUGGAGAAAACAUCAUUUAUUUUUCUGGCUGUGAAUUUACAAGAUGCUAAAGCCUCUAACAAUUUAGUCUGAAUUUCAGUGACUUGUUGCUCACUGAGCUCAGUGUAGGCAAAUGUCUGACUAUGACAGUGGACAGGUGGACCUUGCUUUUCCAGGCUCAGAAAUAAAGUAGCAGUACUCAGAGGAGUCCGGAUCCUUUUUCUGGGUCGAAUGAUACGACUCUAGGUUGAAUACUAGAAUCUUUUGCCAUGGUUUAAACCUCCAGGGCUCAGUUGCUUGAUCUGUGCAAUGGGAGCGGAAAUGCACCAGCCUCACAGGCACACGAGUGUGCAGGGAGGAGCCUGGGGUUCCACACAGGUCGGAUGCAGUGGGACCACCUCAGGGUGGAUUUACCCCCACGUCCAGGGCACAAGGAGGUGGAGAGGGCAGGCGCCCUGCUGACAGGGGCUUCCUGCUCUGUGAAUUCCGCAGCUCUGGCUGAGCACUGGUAUUAGGAACUCAAAGAGUGAUUCCAUAAAGAAAAAAAGUGUAGUUUAUACCAAAAUGGAAUAAACCCCCAUUUGAGUAACAACAAUCUGCAUAAAUGCUUUAAGAAAGCCUAUAAUUAUGAUAAAAAUGUUGCUCAAAGUUAAAAUUAUGAAGCAAUCAAGAUUUAU
ensembl:lncRNA